CGGGCUGUCGUAUACCGGUAGUAUGCCUGUUUUGGGAACAGGUGGACUGGGUUCAAUUCCCAGCAGCCCGACAA
rnacentral:tRNA from 1 species